GUACCUGCGGAGGGAUCAUUACCGAGUUUACAACUCCCAAACCCAAUGUGAACGUUACCAAACUGUUGCCUCGGCGGGAUCUCUGCCCCGGGUGCGUCGCAGCCCCGGACCAAGGCGCCCGCCGGAGGACCAACCAAAACUCUUUUUGUAUACCCCCUCGCGGGUUUUUUAUAAUCUGAGCCUUCUCGGCGCCUCUCGUAGGCGUUUCGAAAAUGAAUCAAAACUUUCAACAACGGAUCUCUUGGUUCUGGCAUCGAUGAAGAACGCAGCGAAAUGCGAUAAGUAAUGUGAAUUGCAGAAUUCAGUGAAUCAUCGAAUCUUUGAACGCACAUUGCGCCCGCCAGUAUUCUGGCGGGCAUGCCUGUCCGAGCGUCAUUUCAACCCUCGAACCCCUCCGGGGGGUCGGCGUUGGGGAUCGGCCCUGCCUCUUGGCGGUGGCCGUCUCCGAAAUACAGUGGCGGUCUCGCCGCAGCCUCUCCUGCGCAGUAGUUUGCACACUCGCAUCGGGAGCGCGGCGCGUCCACAGCCGUUAAACACCCAACUUCUGAAAUGUUGACCUCGGAUCAGGUAGGAAUACCCGCUGAACUUAAGCAUAUCA
rnacentral:rRNA from 1 species